rnacentral:rRNA from 1 species
AGCUUCGGAGAGGCGCAAGCGGCCUAUGACCCGGAGAUACCCGAAUGGGGCAACCCGUCCUGGAGGACCCAGGACACCUGCAUAAAGCGGGGGGCACCCGGGGAAGUGAAACAUCUCAGUACCCGGAGGAAGAGAAAUCAAGAGAGAUUCCCUGAGUAGUGGUGAGCGAAAGGGGAAGAGCCCAAACCUGACGGACGUGAGAGGCUGCGGCCGUUGUCUGUUGGGGGUUGAGGGGCAUGCUGAGGGUGUCCGCAGGCACCCGCUGGAUUCGCGCAUUGUAGUUGAAGCGUGUUGGGAAAGCGCACCGUAGAGGGUGAUAGUCCCGUAGGCGAAACGAUACGCGAAUUUGGUGGGCAUGACCCCGAGUAGGCCGGAGCACGUGGAAUUCCGGCUGAAUCAGGGUGGACCGCCAUCCAAGGCUAAAUACCGUUGGUAACCGAUAGCGCAACAGUACCGAGAGGGAAAGGUGAAAAGCACCCCUGGCGGGGAGUGAAAAAGACCUGAAACCGUGCGCCUACAAGCGAUCGGAGUCCGGCACUCAGCCUUUUGCAUCAGCUGGUAGACAUGAUUUUUGUAGAUGCGAGUGUGGGGAUGUUAAUGCAUCGAGGCUAAUGCGAGAAGCUGAGUGCCGGAUGACGGUGUGCCUAUUGAAGAAUGAGCCGGCGAGUUACUAUUUGUGGCGAGGUUAAGGUCUUUAAGGACUGGAGCCGCAGGGAAACCGAGUCUUAAGAGGGCGGAUAGUCGCGAGUAGUAGACCCGAAGCCGUACGAUCUAUCCAUGGGCAGGUUGAAGUCCGGGUGAAACCGGAUGGAGGACCGAACCAGUCAGUGUUGAAAAACUGUUGGAUGACCUGUGGAUAGGAGUGAAAAGCUAAUCGAGUACGGUGAUAGCUGGUUCUCCCCGAAAUGCAUUUAGGUGCAGCCUUGUGUAUGAGAGUGACGGGGGUAGAGCACUGGAUGGACGAGGGGGACUGGGGUCCUACCGAAUUCAACCAAACUCCGAAUACCGUUACUUGCUACACGGGAGUGAGACUACGGGUGAGAAGGUUCGUAGUCGAGAGGGAAACAGCCCAGACCGACAGCUAAGGUCCCCAAGCCCGCGCUGAGUGUUACAAGGAUGUGGGGGAGCCUGGACAGCCAGGAGGUUGGCUUAGAAGCAGCCAUCCUUGAAAGAGUGCGUAACAGCUCACUGGUCGAGCGCCCCUGCGCCGAAAAUGUGGGGGGCUAAGCGCGGCGCCGAAGCUUCGGAUAUACGUAAUUCAGGUUACGUACAUGGUAGGGGAGCGUUCCGUACGGGGUGAAGUUUACCCGCGAGGGUAGGUGGACUGUACGGAAGCGAGAAUGCCGGCAUGAGUAGCGAAAAACGUGUGAGAACCACGUUCACCGGAAGCCCAAGGUUUCCUGGGGAAGGCUGAUCCACCCAGGGUAAGGCGGGACCUAAGGCGAGGCCGCGAGGCGUAGUCGAUGGACAGCAGGUUGAAAUUCCUGCCCCGCCCUGACGACGCAUGGACCGAAGGGGUGACGCGGGAGGCUAGGUGCGCCGGGUGCUGGAAUACCCGGUCCAAGGAAGUAGGGGGAGGAACCAGGGAAAGCCGGAUCCUCGUAGACCCUGAGAUCUGAUGGGGAGCCCCUUAAAGGGGCGAAGGCAUUGACGCCCGACCGCCGAGAAAAGCCUCUAGGGAGGAGUCGGGGCGCCCGUACCCGAAACCGACACAGGUGGGCUGGCUGAGCAGGCCAAGGUGGACGAGAGAACCCUCGCUAAGGAACUCUGCAAGUUGACCCCGUAACUUCGGGAGAAGGGGUGCCCCUGGAGGUGAGGCGUACAUGACGAUGCCGAGCUUUUGGGGGUCGCAGAAACCAGGCCCAGGCGACUGUUUACUAAAAACACAGGACUCUGCUGAAGGCGCAAGCCGACGUAUAGGGUCUGACACCUGCCCGGUGCUGGAAGGUUAAGGGGAGAGGUUAUUGGUCUUACGGGACCGAGAAGCUUUGAACCGAAGCCCCAGUAAACGGCGGCCGUAACUAUAACGGUCCUAAGGUAGCGAAAUUCCUUGUC